rnacentral:lncRNA from 1 species
AUAUUUUUCCUCUGUUCUAGGACUAUUUGAACUGGAAGUCUCAUGAAAGUUAUUCUGUUAGCAAGGCUUCAAAUGCAAAGCGUAUCAUGAAGGACUGCUCAGGUCCCAAAACCUACAACCAAAAAACCUACAGUACAAGAAUGGGUGCACUGGUUCUGUAUUCCCAGGAUCUAGCCGAGCCUUUAUGGAAAAAGGGACAUAGGAGAACGGGCCAGUAAGGCCACAGGCACAAAAGGAAGCUACAGAUGGAGUUGCACACCUUCCAAGACUUGACAAGAGCCAUCUUGGCAUAUGGAGGAAAGCAGGCUGUAUCAGGGAUCCACUAUUGCUUCAGGAAUAUUCCCAAAUGUAUGGAAAGAUACAGUAGGACCUGCUGUCUGCUGUCCCUGAAAAAUACAACUUUCUGCCUAUGCUGCCAUCUUUCUGGGAUGAACUAAGCCAACAGAUGCACGUAGAGUUACUUGUUUCUAAAGGAGCCUGAGAACACAGAAAAGCUUGCAGAAAGCUACGGAAGCUGAGAAACACCUGGCAGGAAGAGAGGCCGAGUACUUGUUCGCACUUCAGUAAGAGAGCAGAGGCUUGGGGCUGCACAAGACACUACCUGGAGCCAAAGCACCUGCUGCCCAGGAGUCCCACAGGUACCCUCUCUGUUCACUGCUCCACUUUCAUGCCUCUCAGCCAGCUCCCUGCCUGAGGCUCCAGGUUCCCUCGGGACUGAUACUGAAUGGGCAGGAUGGAGUCUGUCUCUUGGAAAAAAUUGUGCCAGCAUAUGCUCUGGCUUCAGCACAUGACAGAUGGCAGUCACAUUGCUCAGCGUACACUGGAAGGCGGUUAGAGACUUUAAACAUUCAAAAAUCUUAGAAAGAAAAAUAAAGUAUUUGGGGCUGUGACA